rnacentral:rRNA from 1 species
UCCUGGCUCAGGAUGAACGCUGGCGGCGUGCUUAACACAUGCAAGUCGAACGAUGAACCGGUGCUUGCACUGGGGAUUAGUGGCGAACGGGUGAGUAACACGUGAGUAACCUGCCCUUGACUCUGGGAUAAGCCUGGGAAACUGGGUCUAAUACCGGAUAUGACUGACUAUCGCAUGGUGGUUGGUGGAAAGCUUUUGUGGUUUUGGAUGGACUCGCGGCCUAUCAGCUUGUUGGUGAGGUAAUGGCUUACCAAGGCGACGACGGGUAGCCGGCCUGAGAGGGUGACCGGCCACACUGGGACUGAGACACGGCCCAGACUCCUACGGGAGGCAGCAGUGGGGAAUAUUGCACAAUGGGCGCAAGCCUGAUGCAGCGACGCCGCGUGAGGGAUGACGGCCUUCGGGUUGUAA